rnacentral:lncRNA from 1 species
CAACGUUCCCGAGUUCUGCCGACGGAUAAACCCCCACCAGUGUCGACCGGAUUCUCCACGAUGGAUGGACUCCGUCCAAGUUUCUACGGUGGUCGACCACCUUCUAGACUCUGUCUGGGCUCCUACAGGAGCCGGACUUCUUUCCCGAACUCCGACUGUAGGUAGACUUUGUCCGAGCUCCUACGGGAGCCGGACUUCAUCCCCGAACUCUGAUUGAAGGUAGACUCCGUCCGAGCUCCUACGGGAGCCGGACUUCUGCCCUGAACUCCUAUUGCAGGUAGACCCCAUUCGAACUCCUACAAGGGCCGGACUCUGAGCUUCUGCUACAAGCGGUCUACUUUAAAUUUCUACUACGAGCGGUCUGCGCCGGACUUCCACUGUAAGCCUUCACCCGAGCUUCCAUUGUGGAUGAAUUCCUUCCAGAUUUCUAUUGCAGGUAGGCUUCGGCCGAGCUUCCUCGACAAAUGAUCCCCAUCCGGGCUUCUACGGAGAUCGGACUCUGACCGAACUUCUGUAGCAGACAGAUUCCAGACGAACUCCUACGUCACAUGGACUCCAGC